AAGAAAAAUGGAAAGAGGGAUUUAGGGUUACUCGUUUUUUUGCGGCUGAUGGAGUUCUGAAUCUGAAGAACUCAACCUUCCACCCUCUCGCGACGGUGACGGCGACAGAACUUUUCGAGCUUCUUCUCCAAUCGAUUCGCGUUUUUUGUCUCGGAGCCGCCUCUCUCGAUAUUCCUCGAUCUCUUUCGGCUCAAUCUCUCCUCAAACUCUCUUUGAUUCAGAUUCUCACUCGAUUCUCCUCUCAAAUCGCUCGUCUCUCGUUCUCACUCAAUACUCUCUCGCUCUCACUUAAUCCUCUCUCUUAUCCGUCCGCGAUGAAGGUUGAAGAACUUUGAAAGUCAAGAUCGAAAAUUUGCAGUUUGUGAUUUGACGUUCAUUGCGAAGUUGUGAAGAGUGGAUCCAAGAAGAUUUGAGAAAUGUGAAGAAGAUGAUGAUUGCUGUGAUAAAGAAGGUCAAUCGAGGGGGAGGAAUUGGAGAUUCUGUUAUCAGAAAUUUUGCUAAAGGUUCCUCUUUUUGCUGUUAUGUUCGAGGAAAUGAUGAAGAUGAAGCUUAUGACGAGAAUUGAGGUGUGAAGGUUGGUGAAUAGAGAGAGCCUCUGUGAAGGGAGGUUCUGCUAAAACAAAUGAUGACUAGUGAUGGAGAGAAGAAGAUGAUGAUGAGAUGGAAUGGUGAACCUCUGUGAAGACUGAAUCGAGAGAGAGAAAGAUGAAGGUUCUUCUGUGAUGAGGUGAUGAAUUCUGUUGAGAGAGGAUGAAGAUGAUGGUGAAUUCAGAGAUUGUGAAGAUUGAAGAUGAUGAGAAAAUGAUGAUGGGAAAGUGGUGGAGGAGAAGAUGAAAUGGUGGAGAGUCAAAGAUUUUCUGAUUGAGGGUGGAGGUUAUUUUUUAUAUAAGUGAAGAGAAUCAGCUUUUGAAGGUUAGUUUUCACUCUGAUCUUUCUGUCAUUGAUUUUGUUGCCACUCUGUGUAACUGAUUUUUUCUGUUAAAAGUUGUUAGAAAUGGUUAGGAAGUUGUUGGGAUCAGUUAUGAAAUUCUAUUAUGUGUGGGUUAAGGGUGGUUAUUUCUGUUUUUGAUGAGCUGGAAGCUAGUUAGCAAUUCUGUUUUGUUAGUUAGGGAGUACAGAGGAGGCUACAGGUUACUUGAAUGUGGAAGGCUGAAGCUGUUAGUGGUAGCAAAAUUGAAUUAAGUUUUCUGUUACUUAGAAGUUGAUUGGAGUGAAAGAGAUGAGACUGUUAGAAACCAGAAAUUGUUAUAGGUGAUUUGAAUGUUUAGAUUUGAAUUGUUCUCGAAAUUUUAUGGACUGAUGUGUGAUUAAAUGAUGCAGGCAGCAGGUUGAGUGCAGGAAAAAUUGGUUUUUUGUCUCAAACAGUUAGGAUUGGUUAGAUGUUGGUAACUGAAUGCUAAAAAGUUUGUUCUGAAAAUGUUAUGUCUAAGCUUGUUUAUGAACCUUUCUUUGGCAGGGUACAUGGAUCUUGAUAUAGUCAAAGCGACAUGAGGUCAAAGGUUGGAAGAUGAAUGGAAACGGCUAAUGGCAUAAGAAAGUGCAAGUGAAGGGUUUUAGCAAAACAUGAGUCAACUGUAUUUUGUUUGUUGAAAUUUUCUAUGUAGUUGUAAUAUAUGGAUUUGUAAUGAAGUAAUUUUGUGUAAUUUCUUGGAGUGUAAGAUGGUUUGAAUUUUGUAAUGAGUUUUGAAUGGAGCAUGCUUAGAAGAA